GAUGAACGCUGGCGGCGUGCUCAACACAUGCAAGUCGAACGAUGAAGCCCAGCUUGCUGGGUGGAUUAGUGGCGAACGGGUGAGUAACACGUGAGUAACCUGCCCUUAACUCUGGGAUAAGCCUGGGAAACUGGGUCUAAUACCGGAUAGGAGCGUCCACCGCAUGGUGGGUGUUGGAAAGAUUUAUCGGUUUUGGAUGGACUCGCGGCCUAUCAGCUUGUUGGUGAGGUAAUGGCUCACCAAGGCGACGACGGGUAGCCGGCCUGAGAGGGUGACCGGCCACACUGGGACUGAGAGACGGCCCAGACUCCUACGGGAGGCAGCAGUGGGGAAUAUUGCACAAUGGGCGAAAGCCUGAUGCAGCGACGCCGCGUGAGGGAUGACGGCCUUCGGGUUGUAAACCUCUUUCAGUAGGGAAGAAGCGAAAGUGACGGUACCUGCAGAAGAAGCACCGGCUAACUACGUG
rnacentral:rRNA from 1 species